UUUUUCACUGUUCCUCUUUUCUCACUUAUAGAACAUUGUCUUUUCUUGCUCUCUUGCUGGUAACCUAACACAGUCUUCAUUCUCGGCUUGAUCUCUCCUUCAUUGGCAUCUCUCAUUCUCAGGUAAAAAAAGUUCGUUUGCCCUCUCUCAAUCUCAUUAAAAAAGCUUUUGUUUGCUUCGAAUUUCUCAUUCUCUCAAUCGCUCAAUCUGAGCUUCCAAUUUUGUUUGCUUUCAUUUCUCUUUUCGAAUCUUCAUCAAUCGAUCGCAAAUCUGGUUUCAAUGGUUCUGGUUUGUUUGCAGCAGGUUCUGUGUCUUUGAUAUUUCAUUCUCUCUCUCUGAUUUUUUUUAUAGAUUAGGUUACUUUUUCUUUACUUCAAAAUCGAAGGCGGAACUUCUCGGGUACGUUCCUUUUCCAUGUUUCAUGCUCAGUCUCGCGCUUCAGUGGUGAUUUUUUUUUCAAUACUCAAAUGUUUUACACUCAGUUUCUGUGUGGAAUAACAUUCCUCUCACGCUUUUUCUUUGCUUACUAUUGAAAAAUUGAAUGAUCUGCGACUGUGUUUUGCUUUCAUGGAAAAUUUGAGAUUCUCAUUCUUUGAGAAUAUUAGCUUAGCAUUAUAGCCAGUAUGAAAACUCUCAAAAUCAUGUUGAUUAUUUUUGUUAUUGACAAGUUAUUUUUUAGAGUUUUUAUUUUUAUUUUUUAUAAGCACUAUUUUUUUUACAGAAUAAGAAUUGGAUGAUUUGGUAUUCCUUAAUUAUUAUUAUUAUAUUUGAUUUUGGCAGGCUAAGGUAAGUUUGAGUAAGCAGUAAUUCCUUUCAAUUGAAAAUUUUUCGAAAUUCAGAGUUUGAGUUAUUUUUCUUGACUAGACUAAUACUGACGACGACGACGAUGAUGAUAUCAGGAAGAGGAAUGAUAAUGGAAAAAUUGAUACAAAUCCAUGGAAAUGUAAGGCCUGUUUCUCAGUAACUUUGAUUUCUCCACCUGAUAUGCAAGUUUUAGUGCAUUUGAGUUAGAUGGAUCGAAAAGAUUUGUGUUCUUGUUAUGAAACUAAAUUAGAAAUGGCUAUUGCGGGUGUGCAUACUGUCACUACGCUCGAAUCUACUUUCCUGAGGGAAUCCCUUUCUCGGUCAUCUGGGAGGGAAGGAGAUGGAGGGAGGGGAGGCACCCGGUCAUCUUCGGUCUUGCAAAUGUGGAGAGAGAUUGAGGAUGAGCAGGUAGUAAGACCAGUUCAAGGAAGAAGGAUGAGCAGCAGGUUCUGGUUUGUUUGCAGUCUGCGUCAUUUGCAUAAAUAAAUAGUUUACCAGAGUUCACUAGACUCCAAUGCUGGAACCGAAAAGGAGAUUACAUGUUAAGAACAAAAGUCGCAGAAACACUGUUAAGCCUAGAAAUGGGAAGAUAUUGCCUCCGGACAAACCUUGGCAUCCAGUUGCCAAUACAUGAUAAAGCACAAAGAAGUAGAAUAACAGAAACCAACAGAAUAGGCACAAAAGCAAGAGGAUUUAUCUUGAACUGGAACAACUCCAAGUCACGAAGCCCAAAUCUAUUGGAGAAUGCCUUUCCAACUUCCAACAUGGCAACCCCAAGCCCAAACGAGUGCCUUCCGGAGCCAACACUUACCUGAUUAUCAUUAAACACGUCCCGAGUAUGGUGCAACGAUGGGCUUCUUUCCUUUGGAUCAUGUCACUUUGCAAUAUUUGAGACUGACAGACAAAAGUGACGAGACUGUGCAAGCCUAUAGAAGUUUUGAGUUCUAUGUCUGCUAUUAUUUUUGGGGAAACUUCAAGACCAGGUCAAACGAAUGCCUUCAAAGUGAUGUCUAUAAGGAAUUUUACUAGAUUAUAGUUAUUAUUCCAUUUUGGAUCCACUGUAUCCAAGUAUAAACUUCAUACACUUAAAAAGCAUCUUUUAUUUUUUAGUUAAUAUACAAUUUGAUUUGUAAAGUGGCAUUUAUAUUACUCUAGAACACUACUAAAAUUUUUAUGUGUGAUGUGUGA